CCCGGGAACUACGAGCCAAGCUUAAAACCCAAAGGACUUGACGGUACCCCAUAUCCCCCUAGAGGAGCCUGUCCUAUAAUUGAUAAUCCCCGUUUAACCUCACCACUUCUAGCAAUUCAGCCUGUAUACCUCCGUCGUCAGCUUACCACGUGAGCGUUAGUGAGCUCAAUGUUAUUUCAACCAAACGUCAGGUCAAGGUGCAACAUAUGAAGCGGAAAGAGAUGGGCUACACUUUCUACCAUAGACCACACGAAAGACUAACUAUGAAACCUAGUCAGAAGU
rnacentral:rRNA from 1 species